rnacentral:rRNA from 1 species
AGUCGAGCGAGCSGGGGGCAACCCCAGGCGAGCGGCGGACGGGUGAGUAACGCGUGAGCAAUCUGCCCCCUAGCCGGGAACAACCGGCCCAACGGCCGGCUAAUGCCGGAUAUGGCUGCCAGCCGCAUGGCUGGCAAGCGAAAGAUUUAUCGCUAGGGGAUGUGCUCGCGUCCGAUUAGGCAGUUGGCGGGGUAACGGCCCACCAAACCGACGAUCGGUAGCCGGCCUGAGAGGGCGAACGGCCACAUUGGGACUGAGAUACGGCCCAGACUCCUACGGGAGGCAGCAGCAGGGAAUAUUGCGCAAUGGGGGCAACCCUGACGCAGCGACGCCACGUGUGGGAAGGAGCGCCUAGGCGUGUAAACCACUGUCGUGGGGGAACAGAGCGCGGUUUCGGCCGCGCUGAGCGUACCCUGAGAGGAAGCACCGGCAAACUUCGUGCCAGCAGCCGCGGUAAUACGAGGGGUGCGAGCGUUGUUCGGAAUCACUGGGCGUAAAGGGAGCGUAGGCUGCCCUGCAAGCCGGGCGUGCAAUGCGGGGGCCCAACCCCCGCCUUGCGCCCGGGACUGCGGGGCUUGGAUGUUCCAGAGGCUGGCGGAAUUCCCGGUGGAGCGGUGGAAUGCGUAGAUAUCGGGAAGAACACCGGAGGCGAGGCGGCCAGCUGGGGAUCAUCGACGCUGCGGCUCGAAAGCGCGGGUAGCAAACAGGAUUAGAUACCCUGGUAGUCCGCGCCGUAAACGAUGCGCGYUUGGCGCCCGGGGGCAACAGCCCCUGGGUGCCCGUACCCAACGCGAUAAGCGCGCCGCCUGGGGAGU